rnacentral:rRNA from 1 species
UCCAGACUCCUACGGGAGGCAGCAGUGAGGAAUAUUGGUCAAUGGCCGGAAGGCUGAACCAGCCAAGCCGCGUGAAGGACGAAGGUGCCAAGCAUUGUAAACUUCUUUUGUCAAGGGACAAAAUCAGGCUCGAGAGCCUGACCGAGGGUACUUGAAGAAAAAGCAUCGGCUAACUCCGUGCCAGCAGCCGCGGUAAUACGGAGGAUGCGAGCGUUAUCCGGAUUUAUUGGGUUUAAAGGGUGCGUAGGCGGACUGUAAGGUCAGGGGAAAAGGCCGGGGCCUCACCCCCGGCGAGCCGUUGAAACUGGCUGUCUUGAGAUGUCGAGAGGUAUGCGGAAUGCGCAGUGUAGCGGUGAAAUGCAUAGAUAUCACGCAGAACUCCGAUUGCGAAGGCAGCGCACCGGCGCCCUACUGACGCUCAGGCACGAAAGCGUGGGUAUCGAACAGGAUUAGAUACCCGGGUA